AAGGUAUCUUAAAUAUUGCUUCUCUUCAGAAUGGCCAUCUUAACUCUAGAAGAAUAUCAGAUCUGGAGUGUGAAAAAUGUUCUUGCCAAUGAGUUUUUGAAUCUACUUUUCCAGAACUUGACAAGCUGAUUCUAAAUACAUACAGAAGCUUGAAGAGCCAACAAUAGCCAAGCUGAUAUUAAAGAACAAUGUUAAAGAACUUAUUAUAAAACAAUAUUAAGUCUAUGUGAUAACUACCUAAAGUUAGACAUAUAGACCAAUGGAACAGUAUUGAAUUAAACCCUGUACCAUACAUGAACAGUAAUUUUAGAUAGAUUAUAAAUCUAAUAAAUU